GCGCUGGUGGUGUAAGGUGUAGCAUCGCUGCACGGAAAGCAGAAGGUACGGGUUCAAGUCCCGCCUGGCGCA
rfam:Heligmosomoides polygyrus genome assembly, scaffold: HPBE_scaffold0000109